UACAGAGGUCUCAAGCGUUGUUCGGAUUCAUUGGGCGUAAAGGGUGCGUAGGCGGCGCGGUAAGUCGGGUGUGAAAUCUCGGGGCUUAACUCCGAAACUGCAUUCGAUACUGCCGUGCUUGAGGACUGGAGAGGAGACUGGAAUUUACGGUGUAGCGGUGAAAUGCGUAGAUAUCGUAAAGAAGACCAGUGGCGAAGGCGGGUCUCUGGACAGUUCCUGACGCUGAGGCACGAAGGUCAGGGGGAGCAAACGGG
rnacentral:rRNA from 1 species